rnacentral:rRNA from 1 species
GAGACAGCAGUCGCCGCGGGAAUACGGAGGGUGCAAGCGUUAAUCGGAAUUACUGGGCGUAAAGCGCACGCAGGCGGUCUGACAAGUCAGAUGUGAAAUCCCCGGGCUUAACCUGGGAACUGCAUUUGAAACUGUCAGGCUGGAGUCUUGUAGAGGGGGGUAGAAUUCCAGGUGUAGCGGUGAAAUGCGUAGAGAUCUGGAGGAAUACCGGUGGCGAAGGCGGCCCCCUGGACAAAGACUGACGCUCAGGUGCGAAAGCGUGGGGAGCAAACAGGAUUAGAUACCCCGGUAGUCCCUGUCUCUUAUAU